GACGUAGGGCGCGAGCGUUGUCCGGAAUUAUUGGGCGUAAAGGGUGCGUAGGCGGCGCGGUAAGUCGGGUGUGAAAUCUCGGGGCUUAACUCCGAAACUGCAUUCGAUACUGCCGUGCUUGAGGACUGGAGAGGAGACUGGAAUUUACGGUGUAGCGGUGAAAUGCGUAGAUAUCGUAAGGAAGACCAGUGGCGAAGGCGGGUCUCUGGACAGUUCCUGACGCUGAGGCACGAAGGUCAGGGGAGCAAACGGG
rnacentral:rRNA from 1 species